UUUUGAAAAGAAGUCGAACCUGCCCGGUGAUAAAUUUAUUUAACGGCUGCGGUAAUUCGUACGAAGGUAGCAUAGUAAGUAGCCCUUUAAUUGGGGGAUGGAAUGAAUGGUAUGUCAUGGAGAUACUGUCUUUAGUGUAAUUUGAUGAAAUUUUCUUUUAAGUGAAAAGACUUAAAUAUUUGUAAAAGAAGAGAAGACCCUAUCGAGCUUAAUUAGAAAACAAAAUUGAAGAUAGUAUCUGAGGUUUUGUAUUUUGAAGUUUUGUCGGGAGGACAGAAGACUAAAAGGAACGUCUUUUUCUUGAAUAUAGAACCCUUUAUGACGGGAAAAAAGCAGAAGUUACCGUAGGGAUAACAGCGUAAUAUCUUUCUGAGAGAUCGUAUUGAGGAAAGAGUGUGCGACCUCGAUGUUGAAUUAAGGAAGCUUUUUGGUUGUAGCAGCUAAUUUAAGUGAAACUGUUCGUUUUUUAAAACCUUACAUGAUCUGAGUUCAGACCGGAUUA
rnacentral:rRNA from 1 species